UACGUAGGUGGCAAGCGUUGUCCGGAUUUAUUGGGUUUAAAGGGUGCGUAGGUUGUUCCAUAAGUCAGUGGUGAAAUACGGCAGCUCAACUGUCGAGGUGCCAUUGAUACUGCGGAACUUGAGUACAGACGAGGUAGGCGGAAUUGACGGUGUAGCGGUGAAAUGCUUAGAUAUCGUCAAGAACACCGAUAGCGAAGGCAGCUUACUAGACUGUAACUGACACUGAGGCACGAAAGUGUGGGGAUCAAACAGG
rnacentral:rRNA from 2 species